AGGAGCCGAAGAAGGACGGGACUAACACCGAUAUGCUUUGGGGAGCUGUACGUAAGCGUUGAUCCAGAGAUUUCCGAAUGGGGGAACCCACUAUCUUUAGUCGGAUAGUAUCCUUACGUGAAUACAUAGCGUGAGGAAGGCAGACCCAGGGAACUGAAACAUCUAAGUACCUGGAGGAAGAGAAAGAAAAAUCGAUUUCCUGAGUAGCGGCGAGCGAAACGGAAAGAGCCCAAACCAAGAAGCUUGCUUCUUGGGGUUGUAGGACACUCUAUACGGAGUUACAAAAGAAAGUUAUAAAUGAAGCGGUCUGGAAAGGCCCGCCAAAGACGGUAACAGCCCGGUAGUUGAAAUGGCUUUCCCUCCAGAGUGGAUCCUGAGUACGGCGGAACACGUGAAAUUCCGUCGGAAUCCGGGAGGACCAUCUCCCAAGGCUAAAUACUCCCUAGUGACCGAUAGUGAACCAGUACCGUGAGGGAAAGGUGAAAAGCACCCCGGAAGGGGAGUGAAACAGUUCCUGAAACCGUGUGCCUACAAGUAGUUAGAGCCCGUUAAUGGGUGAUAGCGUGCCUUUUGUAGAAUGAACCGGCGAGUUACGAUUUGUUGCAAGGUUAAGCGGAAAAAGCGGAGCCGUAGCGAAAGCGAGUCUGAAUAGGGCGCAUAAGUAACAGGUCGUAGACCCGAAACCAGGUGAUCUACCCAUGUCCAGGAUGAAGGUAAGGUAAUACUUACUGGAGGUCCGAACCCACGCACGUUGAAAAGUGCGGGGAUGAGGUGUGGGUAGCGGAGAAAUUCCAAUCGAACUUGGAGAUAGCUGGUUCUCUCCGAAAUAGCUUUAGGGCUAGCCUCGAGGUAAAGAGUCAUGGAGGUAGAGCACUGUUUGGACUAGGGGCCCUUCUCGGGUUACCGAAUUCAGAUAAACUCCGAAUGCCAUGUACUUAUACUCGGGAGUCAGACUGCGAGUGAUAAGAUCCGUAGUCGAAAGGGAAACAGCCCAGACCACCAGUUAAGGUCCCCAAAUAUAUGUUAAGUGGAAAAGGAUGUGGGGUUGCUUAGACAACCAGGAUGUUGGCUUAGAAGCAGCCACCAUUGAAAGAGUGCGUAAUAGCUCACUGGUCGAGUGACCCCGCGCCGAAAAUGUACCGGGGCUAAACAUAUUACCGA
rnacentral:rRNA from 2 species